GACGAACGCUGGCGGCGUGCUUAACACAUGCCAGUCGAACGGAAAGGCCCUGCUUUUGUGGGGCGCUCGAGUGGCGAACGGGUAAGUAACACGUGAGUAACCUGCCCUUGACUUUGGGAUAACUUCAGGAAACUGGGGCUAAUACCGGCUAGGAGCUUCUGCUGCAUGUUGGGGGUUGGAAUGGUUCGGCGGUUGGUGAUGGAUUCGCGGCUUAUCAGCUUUUUGGUGGGGUAGUGGCUUACCAGGGCUUUGACGGGUUGCCGGCCUGAAAGGGUGACCGGCCAAAUUGGGACUGAGAUAAGGCCCAGAAUCCUACGGGGAGCAGCAGUGGAGAAUAUUGCACAAUGGGCGGAAGACUGAUGCAGCAACGCCGCGUGCGGGAUGACGGCCUUCGGGUUGUAAACCGCUUUCGCCUGUGACGAAGCGUGAGUGACGGUAAUGGGUAAAGAAGCACCGGCUAACUACGUG
rnacentral:rRNA from 1 species